rnacentral:tRNA from 1 species
UCUCUGAUGGUGUAGUGGUUAAGAUUCUGCACUUCAACUGCAGAGGGCACAGGUUCAAUCCCUGAUUGAGGAA